rnacentral:misc_RNA from 1 species
CAACCCUCAAGCCCUGCUUGGUAUCGGGCCGUACCGGUAACGGUGGGCCUCAGAACUAGUGGCGGUGCCGUUUGGCUCUAAGCGUAGUAAUUCUCCUCGCUAUAGGUGCCCGACGGUGUCCGGCCAGGAACCCCCUAAAUUUCUAU